CCUACGGGUGGCAGCAGUGGGGAAUAUUGCACAAUGGCGGAAACCCUGAUGCAGCAACGCCGCGUGAGUGAAGAUGUAUUUCGGUAUGUAAAGCUCUAUCAGCAGGGAAGAAGAAAGACGGUACCUGACUAAGAAGCCCCGGCUCACUAGGUGCCAGCAGCCGCGGUCAUACGUAGGGGGCAAGCGUUAUCCGGAGUUACUGGGUGUAAAGGGAGCGUAGACGGGUGUGCAAGUCUGAAGUGAAAGCUCGUGGCUAAACCGCGGAACUGCUUUGGACACUGUAUAGCUUGAGUACUGGAGAGGCAGGCGGAAUUCGUAGUGUAGCGGUGAAAUGCGUAGAUAUUAGGAGGAACACCGAUGGCGAAGGCAGCCUGCUGGACAGAAACUGACGUUGAGGCUCGAAAGCGUGGGGAGCAAACAGGAUUAGAUACCCGUGUAGUC
rnacentral:rRNA from 1 species